rnacentral:lncRNA from 1 species
UGGUUCAAUGGAAAAACCAGGAGGCUGAGUACAAGAAUCCUUUAUUAUAUCUGAAGGCUAUUGAUCUUUCAAGUAAUAAAUUGGUUGGAGGUAUUCCUAAAGAGAUAGCUGAAAUGAGAGGAUUGAAAUCUUUGAACCUUUCAAGAAAUGAUCCGGAAAUAUUCCUAAAGAGAUAGCUGAAAUGAGAGGAUUGAAAUCUUUGAACCUUUCAAGAAAUGAUCUGAAUGGAAGUAUCAUUGAAGGAAUCGGUCAAAUGAAGAUGUUGGAGUCACUUGACCUGUCAAGAAACCAGCUUUCUGGUAUGAUUCCUAAAGGCCUUGCUAACUUGACUUUUAUUGGUGUUUU